GGUAAAUGUUAUAAAUUUGCUUCUUUGAACUUGACAUCCAAUAAACUAGUCAGAGAAAUUAUUUAUAGUAAACAGUUUGUUUUGAUAUUACACAUAAGGUUCAUUGGUUUGCCGAUACAUUAAACAAUAAUGCUGACAACUCCUCAAGCAAUUACCAGAGGGGAAAUUGCAAUGGGGCUCCUAACAGUGUGAAACCCAUUCUCUUCUGUCCAAACAAGGGAACCAAACUGGACACUCAUUUUCUUGUCCCCUUUGUACUUUAUAGUAAGACUAUAGCUUUGCUUUUCAUAUAUUUUACCAAACACCAAGGUCGUUGGUGAGAUGGUAAUUAUCGAACCCUUUGGUGCAGUGACCUUAGCGUUAUAAGUUGCCGCAUUUUCUCCCACAUUUGUUACUGUCCUCUGAAACUUCUGGACCAACACUGAUCUUGUUUUGUUAUCAUACAAAGCGAUAAAGGAUGGGUAAUUGAGAUCAGGAGAUGGGUUUGAACAAUUGUAACUGUUUGAUCUUGUAAUAGCCAAAAUUUGAUUUUUUGUGUAAUUCAUGGAGCAUAGGAGAUUUACGUAGUCUUGUGGGGUGGCAUCAUAAAUCAGACCUGGGUCCAGUGCUCGAUUAGGAUCAAUUUGGCCAGCUCCCAUAGCUAAAGGAGACCCGUAUGCGAACUUUUCAGCACCGUUGUCUAUGAUUGGAUUUUCAGUGUUAUCUAAUGGGUUUGCAGUGGUCAUCAUGGCAGACCGAAUUGCUGCAGGACUCCAUUCAGGGUGAGCACCUUUCAGGAGCGCAGCCACGCCAGAAGCAUGAGGACAAGCCAUCGAUGUGCCAGAGACCAUAUUGAAAUCACUAGACAAGUAUAUGUUCAACCCAAUUUGAGCUGAAUAGCCAUUUGGAACCCAAGAUGCCAAAACUAAAGAACCAGGUGCCAUUAUAUCCGGCUUCAAAAUGUAAGGAUAGCUCGGUGAGGGUCCUCUCGAAGUGUAAGAAGCUGCAGCCGGCGCAGGCUUUGUGCCCAGAAUGGUUUGCUGGAACUUCAUGCUAGCGGAAGGAUUCUCAUCAGUUGUGGCAUAUUUAAUGACUGCCGGUGCAUCACGAGGGCUAAGCACAACGGAAGGACUAUAAACACCACCUAAUUCAAACAAAGUUGGAUCAUUUGAAGUGAAAAUAGCAGCAGCCACAUUUGGAGAGGCUGCAAUAGCAUUUAUUUGAUCAAAAACAACCCCAAUAUCGUCACACAAGAUGAUGCCAAACCGAGCUUGAGAUAACAGCUCAGUGGAGUUGCAUUUUGAAAAGGUCUUGUUGUAAACCAGCGGUAGAUUAUUAACCAACGCAUUAGCUGGGAACAAAGUCCAUCCAAUGAUGGUUUGGCCAUUGCCUAGAGUUAAAGUCCCAGCAAAUGAGCGAUCAAUAGUCCCUGCAGCAACAGUCAAUAGCCAUGGAAUACCAUUAUGCAAGGUCCCAAGAUCUGGCCCUUCAUUUCCUGCUGAAGAUGAGACUACAACUCCCCUUUCCAUUGCUGCAAAUGAGGCUAUGGCAAUAGGAUCCUCAUAUAGUGGAACUUGAUCGAAGCCCAUGGAGAUAGAAAUCACAUCAACACCAUCAGCAACAGCUUGGUCCAUACCAGCAAGAACAUCAGAGGCAUAGCGACCCUCUCUCCACAGGACCUUAUACAUGGCUACUCUAGCUCGUGGUGCCAUACCUCUGGCUGUGCCUGUAGCAUAGCCAAAGAAUGUUGCAUCUUCAACAUAGUUCCCUGCAGCUGUGGAGGAAGUGUGGGUCCCGUGCCCACCAAUGUCCCUUGGAGAGUUCAUUACAAUUUUAAUCCCAGGAUUAGCAGCUAAAACACCUUUGUUGAAAUAUCUAGCUCCAAUCAGCUUUGAAUUGCACAUGGAGGAAUUGAACUGUUCUCCUUCUUCACAAAUUCCCUUCCAUCUGGAAGGUACUGCAGUCAUACCAUCAUCUCUGUAGCUCUUGCUCUCCGGCCAGACACCACUGUCGAUGACUCCAAUAAUAAUAUCUUCACCGAAUUUGGAAGCAGGCCAUAGGCCGGUGAAUGGAUUGAGGGAAAGAAAUUGGUAAGUGUGGGUGGUGUCCACUGUGGCCAUCUUGUCUGUGUAAGCAGAAACAAAACCCGGGGAAUUUCUAAGAGUUUGAAGUUGAGUAGAAGAUAAAACAGCAGCAAAACCAUGAGCAACGUUAUCAUAAGUGUAGACAAAUGAUGGUGGGAGAUUUAUAUGAUCAUCGUGUGAUGAGGAGACGUGAUUGUUUUUGGUAGAUUCGAGGGAAUCACAUGUUGAGGAGUACCAAUCUUGAUGGGUACUGAAGGUUUUGGGCAUCAGAGACUUGUCCAUAUGAACAAUAUAUGUGGCCCUGUCUACUGAAGUUGAGGUUGCAGCAUGAGUGCCGAAGAAAAAAUGGCUGGCAAGAAAGACCAGGAAAAGGGGAAGCAUCUUCAUUUCUUUUUUGGCUAUCUCUGAAGAAUUUGCUUUGUUGCUUGUAUUGCCAUCUCAUCAUCCGUCGAAAUAUAUAUAUAUAUAUAUAAUGAUUCCUAUGGGACACUGUCGAAGUUUGAGAAGUCAAAGGUGACGUAACCUGUCAUCAAGUUUUGGUAUGUCUAAGGGAUCGAAU
rnacentral:misc_RNA from 1 species